GGUGUCAGAAGAGCGACUGAUGACUCUGUGGAGCAGACAGAUGAUGUGAUUUAUACUGAAGUUACUGUGAACAGGAAAAACCGAGACAAAAAGAACAAGGUUCGCUGUGAUGAUAAAGUGACUUACGCUUCCAUCAGAGGAGCAGAAGCUGGAGCUCAGGAAAACUGCAGUCAACUUUAUGCCUCUGUGAACAAGAAC